GACGAACGCUGGCGGCGUGCUUAACACAUGCAAGUCGAACGGAAAGGCCCUGCUUUUGUGGGGUGCUCGUGUGGCGAACGGGUGAGUAACACGUGAGUAACCUGCCCUUUGCUUUGGGAUAACUUCAGGAAACUGGGGCUAAUACCGGAUAGGAGCUCCUGCUGCAUGGUGUGGGUUGGAAAGUUUCGGCGGUUGGUGAUGGACUGGCGGCUUAUCAGCUUGUUGGUGGGGUAGUGGCUUACCAAGGCUUUGACGGGUAGCCGGCCUGAGAGGGUGACCGGCGACAUUGGGACUGAGAUACGGACCAGAAUCCCACGGGAGGCAGCAGUGGGGAAUAUUGCACAAUGGGCGGAAGCCAGAUGCAGCAACGCCGCGUGCGGAAUGACGGGCUUCGGGUUGUAAACCGCUUUCGACUGUGACGAAGCGGGAGUGACGGUACUGGGUAAAGAAGCACCGGCUAACUACGUG
rnacentral:rRNA from 1 species